GAGUUUGAUCGUGGCUCAGGAUGAACGCUGGCGGCGUGCUUAACACAUGCAAGUCGAACGAAGCAUUUAGGAUUGAAGUUUUCGGAUGGAUUUCCUAUAUGACUGAGUGGCGGACGGGUGAGUAACGCGUGGGGAACCUGCCCUAUACAGGGGGAUAACAGCUGGAAACGGCUGCUAAUACCGCAUAAGCGCACAGAAUCGCAUGAUUCAGUGUGAAAAGCCCUGGCAGUAUAGGAUGGUCCCGCGUCUGAUUAGCUGGUUGGUGAGGUAACGGCUCACCAAGGCGACGAUCAGUAGCCGGCUUGAGAGAGUGAACGGCCACAUUGGGACUGAGACACGGCCCAAACUCCUACGGGAGGCAGCAGUGGGGAAUAUUGCACAAUGGGGGAAACCCUGAUGCAGCGACGCCGCGUGAGUGAAGAAGUA
rnacentral:rRNA from 1 species